AGCCAGAGUGGAGGACAGCAGCACUGUCAUCAGGAGGAAGACGGCAGAGAUCUGAUGGGACUUCAUGAUUCCACUGGAUGUUUCUGAAGAUCAGCGUCGCUCCUACAGCUAAACUGAGGCCAGCAGAGUCGAACCACGACCUUUUAGAGGGGUUGUGUGUCUGCAGGUGGCAGGGGUGGGGUGGAAGAAAAAUAAAAGAAAAAACAUUUAGCACUUAAUGCACCUAAAAUAGUCUGACCACAGACAAGACCAGGGUGAAUUUGCUGGGACUGACAUCACAUGCAUCCUGAACGUGUCCUAUACGAUACAGCAGAUAUUAACAUUAGCUGCAGUGCAUGUUUGUUAUUGGCUGUUUUACAAACCACACAGAGCCACCAGGCUGAGUCUGUGGUAACUACCCUUCUAACUAAGGCUUUGGAAGAUAAAUGGAUGUAGGCCUACAUAUGGUAUAUGUAAGAAAAGCAAUGGCCCCCUCUCCUGGUAAGUCCUGGUAUAAACCUGCAAGCUGUUGGUCAGAUUAUUUUUUUUGCAUGCGAAAGAUUGUGCUCAGCAUUUUACAUACACUCUGGGGUCAUUAGAAAAGGAAUAUGUGCCAUAAAUGUAUUGUCUAUC